UACGGAGGAUCCAAGCGUUAUCCGGAAUCAUUGGGUUUAAAGGGUCCGUAGGCGGUCUUAUAAGUCAGUGGUGAAAGCCCAUCGCUCAACGAUGGAACUGCCAUUGAUACUGUAAGACUUGAAUGCUUAGGAAGUAACUAGAAUAUGUAGUGUAGCGGUGAAAUGCUUAGAUAUUACAUGGAAUACCAAUUGCGAAGGCAGGUUACUACUAAGUGAUUGACGCUGAUGGACGAAAGCGUGGGGAGCGAACAGGAUUAGAUACCCUGGUAGUCCACGCCGUAAACGAUGGAUACUAGCUGUUCGGAGCAAUCUGAGUGGCUAAGCGAAAGUGAUAAGUAUCCCACCUGGGGAGUACGCACGCAAGUGUGAA
rnacentral:rRNA from 1 species